rnacentral:rRNA from 1 species
GAUGAGCGCUGGCGGCGUGCCUAAUACAUGCAAGUCGAGCGAACGGACGAGAAGCUUGCUUCUCUGAUGUUAGCGGCGGACGGGUGAGUAACACGUGCAUAACCUACCUAUAAGACUGGGAUAACUUCGGGAAACCGGAGCUAAUACCGGAUAAUAUUUUGAACCGCAUGGUUCAAAAGUGUAAGACGGUCUUGCUGUCACUUAUAGAUGGAUCCGCGCUGCAUUAGCUAGUUGGUAAGGUAACGGCUUACCAAGGCAACGAUGCAUAGCCGACCUGAGAGGGUGAGCGGCCACACUGGAACUGAGACACGGUCCAGACUCCUACGGGAGGCAGCAGCAGGGAAUCUUCCGCGAUGGGCGAAAGCCUGACGGAGCACCGCCGCGUGAGUGAUGAAGGUCUUCGGAUCGUAAAACUCUGUUAUUAGGGAAAAACAUAUGUGUAAGUGACUGUGCACAUCUUGACGGUACCUAAACAAAAAGCCACGGCUAACUACGUG